CAGCCGCCGCGGGAAUACGGAGGGUGCAAGCGUUAAUCGGAAUUACUGGGCGUAAAGCGUGCGUAGGCGGUUCGUUAAGUCUGUUGUGAAAGCCCCGGGCUCAACCUGGGAAUGGCAAUGGAUACUGGCGAGCUAGAGUGUGUCAGAGGAUGGUGGAAUUCCCGGUGUAGCGGUGAAAUGCGUAGAGAUCGGGAGAACACCAGUAGCGAAGGCGGCUCACUGGCUCAUUCUAGACGCUGAGGUGCGAAAGCGUGGGGAGCAAACAGGAUUAGAUACCCCCGUAGUCCCUGUCUCUUAUACA
rnacentral:rRNA from 1 species